UACGUAGGGGGCUAGCGUUGUCCGGAUUUAUUGGGCGUAAAGAGCGUGUAGGCGGCCAGGUAGGUCUGCUGUGAAAACUCGAGGCUCAACCUCGAGACGUCGGCGGAAACCAUCUGGCUAGAGUCCGGAAGGAGGAGAGUGGAAUUCCUGGUGUAGCGGUGAAAUGCGUAGAUAUCCGGAGGAACACCGGUGGCGAAGGCGGCUUCCUGGACCGACACUGACGCUGAGGCGCGAAAGCUAGGGGAGCAAACGGG
rnacentral:rRNA from 1 species